rnacentral:rRNA from 1 species
GACGAACGCUGGCGGCGUGCUUAACACAUUCAAGUCGAACGGAAAGGCCCUGCUUUUGUGGGUUGCUCGAUUGGCGAACGUGUGUGUAACACGUGAGUAACCUGCCCUUGACUUUGUGAUAACUUCAGGAAACUGGGGCUAAUACCGGAUAGGAUCUCCUGCUGCAUGGUGGGGGUUGGAAAGUUUCGGCGGUUGGGGAUGGACUCGCGGCUUAUCAGCUUGUUGGUGGGGUAGUGGCUUACCAAGGCUUUGACGGGUAGCCGGCCUGUGAGGGUGACCGGGGACAUUGGGACUGAGAUACGGAACAGAAGGCAACGGGAGGCAGCAGUGGGGAAUAGUGCAAAAUGGGAGGAAGCCUGAUGCAGAAACGCAGGGAGCGGGAUGAAGGGCUUCGGGGUGUAAAAAGAUUUAGAAUGUGACGAAGAGGGAGUGACGGUAAUGGGUAAAGAAGCAACGGCUAACUACGUG